UUUUUUCUUACUCUCUACUUAGUUCCUUACAAUAGCAUUCACUCUCUCUCUUUCUAUUCCCCCUCCCCAGGAGCGUUAAACGUUUAACGCAACCUUGUUGGAAGUCGCAUUAGAAGUAUAACUUCAAUAGUACUUUGACUACACUCCUCGAAUUCAAAUCUAGAUCUCAAGGGUCCAAAAUAAAAAUCAUUAGAAACAUUAACAAUGGUGUUGAAACGUUUAACCCUUUAAAUUUAUUUAUUCGUGAACUAAGUAAUUGUAACGAUGACGCCCGUCGUGCCUUCCUCGGUCGCUGUUGCCCAUCGUUCCUUUUUAUCUGUGUGUACCUGGAGUGAGCGAUUGUGGGUGGGUGUGCGUGUGUGUGCAGACGAGUGACAAUCGUCCGUUUACAGGAUGCUGCAACUAGGUUCCCCCGACUGUCCACACGGCGACAGCGGAGCGCAUCUGUCAUGGUACGAACCCCUCCUGCAAUGGAGGGAGGGGAGGGCUCGCUGGCCUCUGGAUUCAGUGGAAGUACGAGAGUGCUGGCGACCGCUACACCCGGGUCGAGCGAGACGUCGCCCUGCAGACCAGGCUGCUGAGGACAGCUGACCGCCUGGAGGACAAGCAGAGGCGCCGUCGAGAGCUGCUGGCUCGCAGCUACAGGAUUUGGGUUCCCUUAUCAUAAAAUUACUGCUACCAAAAGUAUCUCUUGACGUGCGACGUGCCGCGCACGUCUAUAGCGCGCGCAGCCUCCCCCUCCCACCCACCUCCGCCUGCCCAGCCGCCUCCUCCCGCCAUCCCCUCACCCACCAAGCCGAGGUCCGUCCAAGUCACGUAGGCCGGCUGGAAUUCCUGGAAGCGCCCGUGAUUCUUGGAACCCUCGGCCCUUCCUACGUCACGCACGCCCUGGCCCUCAGGAGGGGUAUAAAAGGCCGGCCCUUGGGCCAGGAAGCCCGCCAAGACGCGUUGACAACCCACCAGGAGCCCCGUGAGUAUUGCCGCCGAUGCCUUACUCCCACAGAGGCACAGGGAAGAAACCCCCUCGGGCCCAGUCUGGUGGAUGCUGUCUUCCCCCCUGCAAUCCUCGACCCAUCCCUGUGGAGGGAGAUUCAGUAGACGCCGCCCCUUGGGUCUAUGAAAGGGCUCGGGACCGUGCAGCGGCCGAGAGGAGGCAGACGAUAGGAACACCCCCUAUAUCAGUAUUCUUCCCGGCGCCCAUCAGGCUACCAUCUGCCCCCACUCCCGUCAACCAGAAAAGGGGCGACGACCACCUGCAGGGCGUUCCACGGUGGGGCAAACCACCAGCACUCAUCAAGCCGUUCCCGCCAACCCCACCAAGGGGACUGCACCAGGAGGUCAGGCAGCGCAGCAAAAAAUAUUGAGCGCAGGGAGGGGACUCGCUCCAGUAAGAAGCAACCCUCACCUUGCGACACUCUUAUUUGCAUUCUUUCUUGCAUAAUCGUCGCACAUUUUAUUCCAAAAUCAAGUUUGAAAAGUAGGGGUGCGACAUUAUGCGGAAAAAAAAAAAAAUUUUGUUAGCUAAAGUGAAAAAAAAACCCAUUCAUGGAAAGUACGUUUAUUUAAAAAGUGGAUGCCAAACAAUUUAAAUUAAUAAUUCAUGCAAUAAAAACCUUUCUUCAAAUUUAAAUAGAAAAAUAAAAUCUGUGACGCGAACGCAAGCCACUUGAAUAUGUGACGUGAACUAACGGGUAACUGUCGUAGUACACGCUUGCCACGAAAGAGUGCGGGCCAUCAAAUGUAGUUAACUCGGCACCUGACAGAGUGCGCGUUGCAUGCAAUCGGUGAGAUAUCGAUAUUCGACUACGUGCGCGCGCUCUAUACGGACAGCAACAUAACCAAACACGAAUGAUGCCAACUAGCGCUGGCUACAUGUUUAUAAGCGGUACACCGCGGCGACACAUGAUCAGAUAAAGGUUAUAACGUUUAAAAACCUUUAAAAGAAAAUUUACACGUCAGACAACUUCGUAUUUCCGUUAAUUAAAUAAGUGGUAAUGUCCAAAUAAAUAUUAGCUUUCUACUUUAAAAUACAUCGUUUUAUAUGGAAAAGAUACCUACACAAAGCGUUCGGCAUCUAAUAGCGGGACCAAAAACAUCCUGCAACGUUUACGCGAUAAGUUUUUUUAUUCCAAUUUUGACGGCCUAAAAUAUGGGUGCGAUAAAAGAGUGUACAUUCAAGAUAGAGAAUCAAUGUCUUGGUAAAUGUGUAACUGCAUAAACAAAUUACCUGACUGAAGCAGCAAUAGGCAUAAGCCUGUAGAGAGCAGCAUCAUCGACGUGUUUAUGAGAACAAUGUCCGAGAUGGACUGACGUUAAAUUUCAAAA